CAUAAUAGAAACAAUGAGUAUAGAUACGUGCCACGAUUGCUAUGUAACUAACUGUAGAUCUUGUAUGGCUUUAGAUAAUGAUCGGGAAAACACCCCCCCCCCCCCCCUUUGUACUGUAGUGGGCCAUACCUGAGUACUAUGCUGUAGUGCUUGAAAGGAACCGAAGGGGCGUGGCAUCAUGAGCUGACUGUCAGUGUUUUUUGUCCCUUAAAUCGUGCGGCAACAGCAAUAUUGAUAGAAAGAGUUAAGUGUGAAGCUUGUUGUUGAGCUGCUGCUUGUUUCAUGCAGGUUUACGGGAGAUUCAACAUGUCUGAAGCAGCAACCCCUAAGAUGGACCUGGAUUCAGAUUUCGUGUACGACUAUCAAACGCUACGUAUUGGAGGCCUGGUCUUUGCUGGGGUCAUUGUAUUUCUGUCAAUCCUCCUGCUUGCCG